rnacentral:rRNA from 1 species
GUCUCUUGAAUGUCAUAACGACUCUCGGCAACGGAUAUCUCGGCUCUCGCAUCGAUGAAGAACGUAGCGAAAUGCGAUACUUGGUGUGAAUUGCAGAAUCCCGUGAACCAUCGAGUCUUUGAACGCAAGUUGCGCCCGAGGGCACGUCUGCCUGGGCGUCACG